rnacentral:snoRNA from 1 species
CCUGCCACUAGAGGCUUUGCAGGUGUGGCCGCCUUUGUCCUAUGUACAUCAGUAGGUGGCAGAGAGGAGAGAGGCUAUGUCGACGAAUACCUAUGUCCAAAGGUAUUCUGACCUUUGAACAUCUGAAUGAUUAGUAGCUCCACAUU